rnacentral:lncRNA from 1 species
AGACAAAGACGAUAAAAGAAAACCAUGCUAUUGCCCUCCAUGUACAGCAAAACACGGCUCUUUAACUAAAAAAGAGCCCGGAAAGAAAAUAACUAAAUUGAUUGUAAGAGCAGUUCUUGUUUUACUCUGGGGAUUGCUUGUUGCUGGUAUUGUGAAAGUAUCACAAUUUGAAAAA